GCUUACCAUGCAAGUCGAACGAUGAACCGCUUUCGGGCGGGGAUUAGUGGCGAACGGGUGAGUAACACGUGGGCAAUCUGCCCUGCACUCUGGGACAAGCCCUGGAAACGGGGUCUAAUACCGGAUACUCACUGCCUUGGGCAUCCAAGGUGGUGGAAAGCUCCGGCGGUGCAGGAUGAGCCCGCGGCCUAUCAGCUAGUUGGUGAGGUAAUGGCUCACCAAGGCGACGACGGGUAGCCGGCCUGAGAGGGCGACCGGCCACACUGGGACUGAGACACGGCCCAGACUCCUACGGGAGGCAGCAGUGGGGAAUAUUGCACAAUGGGCGAAAGCCUGAUGCAGCGACGCCGCGUGAGGGAUGACGGCCUUCGGGUUGUAAACCUCUUUCAGCAGGGAAGAAGCGAGAGUGACGGUACCUGCAGAAGAAGCGCCGGCUAACUACGUGCCAGCAGCCGCGGUAAUACGUAGGGCGCAAGCGUUGUCCGGAAUUAUUGGGCGUAAAGAGCUCGUAGGCGGCUUGUCACGUCGGUUGUGAAAGCCCGGGGCUUAACCCCGGGUCUGCAGUCGAUACGGGCAGGCUAGAGUUCGGUAGGGGAGAUCGGAAUUCCUGGUGUAGCGGUGAAAUGCGCAGAUAUCAGGAGGAACACCGGUGGCGAAGGCGGAUCUCUGGGCCGAUACUGACGCUGAGGAGCGAAAGCGUGGGGAGCGAACAGGAUUAGAUACCCUGGUAGUCCACGCCGUAAACGGUGGGCACUAGGUGUGGGCAACAUUCCACGUUGUCCGUGCCGCAGCUAACGCAUUAAGU
rnacentral:rRNA from 1 species